rnacentral:tRNA from 1 species
GGAUACAGCUCAGUGGUAGAGCACGUGCUUAGCACACACGAGGUCUUAGGUUCAAUCCUCCAUAUAUCCA